rnacentral:rRNA from 1 species
CAGCCGCCGCGGGAAUACAGAGGGUGCGAGCGUUAAUCGGAUUUACUGGGCGUAAAGCGUGCGUAGGCGGCUUUUUAAGUCGGAUGUGAAAUACCUGAGCUUAACUUAGGAAUUGCAUUCGAUACUGGGAAGCUAGAGUAUGGGAGAGGAUGGUAGAAUUCCAGGUGUAGCGGUGAAAUGCGUAGAGAUCUGGAGGAAUACCGAUGGCGAAGGCAGCCAUCUGGCCUAAUACUGACGCUGAGGUACGAAAGCAUGGGGAGCAAACAGGAUUAGAUACCCGGGUAGUCCCUGUCUCUUAUAC